UUUUUUUUUUUUUUAAAUUGGUAGCUAAAUGCAUAAAUACAUUUUUAUAUUUUAUAAAAAAAAUUCAUUAAAUAUUUUAAUUUAUAAAACUAUGCCGAUUAAAUAUUUCAACUAAUAAAAUUUUUCAAUUGAAUAUUUCAACUUGUAAAAUUUAAUAUAUUAAAUAUUUAUUAAAUAGUUAAAAUAUGUGAAAGUUAUUAUCCCAAAAUUAUAAUAAAAAUACAUAAAAUUAAUUUUUUUUUUUACUUAUAGACUUUAAAAUGCAAAAAACUAUUAUUGUUGGUGUAGAAAAAUAUGAAAAUAUAUUAAAAUUCAUAACUUUAAAUACAUAAUAGAUCCUUACAAAAUUAGAGAUAUCGCAGGAUUUUUUAUUAUUGAAGUACAAGAAUAUAUUUAACCGUUAACAAUUAUUCUUACAUGAAUAACCACAUUAAAUGGAUUUAGUUCACUUUGCGGUAUAUGAACUAACUUACUUUUUCGGGGAAAAAAACUAACUUAUAAGUAUUUAUUAUAUGAGUAAGACAAGUAUAAUAAUAUAGAAAUUAAUUUCAUAGGGUGAAUGUAAUAAUUCAUUACGUAAUAUAUAGAUAAUAGCUUACUAAUCCAAGUCUUUGAUAGCUAUUGAUGAAUUCAUAAUUAUACAGGACAUAAUAAUUUUUGAUUUUUACUAAAAGUUAAUAAGUCAAAAAAAAUUUAUUUUCCAUAAUAAUUCACUAAUUUCAACUAAAAUUAUAAAUAAGAGUAAAUUGAUAAAUUAUGAAAUAAAACUUCAUUAAUAUAAUUUUUUUUAAGUUUCGUGUGAAAAUUGAACUGAAUAAUUAUUUUUAGAUUUAUAGGAUAUAUAUUAAACUUUUGAAAACGUAGUCUCAGGUGAUAUAUUUCGUGGUUGAAGUUGAAAAUUUUGACAAAUUCUUUUCUUGUUCUUUUUCAAACGAUUUUUUCUUCUUUUUCUUUUUUUUUUUCAACUGAGGAUGACAUGGUAUUGUGAAAAAAAAAAAGCAGACUGCUAAACAAAACUAACGACGGGGAUGAGAAUGACAACAAGAGAACUAGAUGCAGUGAAUAGCUCGCGAUGGAGACAAACAUCGAUUGAGAAAUAUAUUUUGUCCCCACGAAGUCGAAAAUUUUGACAAAUUGCCAACUCCCAUUUCUUUAGCAUUGUCAACUUUCUGGCUACUUUCCUUUAGUUGUUUCGAGAUUUAGAAAUUAAUUCCAUUAUUAGUAAUUUCGUUUCCGAGUUUUUGAAUCACAAAAUUUUAAUAAAAUAAUUUUAUAAGUUAAAGUAUUUAAUAAUGAAAAUUUUAUAAAUUGAAAUAUUUAAUAAAUCAAAUUAAAAAUUAAAAUUGUCACAAUAAUUUUAUAAAAAUUACAGAGUAACUUUAUGUAUUUAGUCGGAUAUAUUUAUUUAAAAAAAAUAUUCUGCAUGUUAUUUUUAGUUGGUUAAGAAAACAGUUUUUGUAAUAUUUGGACAAAAUGCAAAAUCAGAAACAAAGAUCUUUCACCAACAGUUUUCAUGAAAUCAAAUUGAUAGAUCAACACCAAAAAUUGUGUUGGUGAAUGAGAGCUAUAAUUAAUAAUUUAUCACAGAGCGUGUGAAUCCAAGCAAGAAUUUGGACAUAGAAAUCGGCCAUGGCGAACACAAUAAUGUCCAAGAAAGUACCAAAAAGCAAACAAAUUAACGAAAGGACGAGAGUUGAAAAGGUUGAAUUUCAUCCACCGGGAUUUCUUUUAUUUAUAUGUUUUUCUGUUUUUAUUUCACAAUAACGUACAGAGCAGAGACAGUGACUACCCACGUGCCAUGUUUGCUCUGUACAUGAUAUAUAUCUUGUGAUGGAUAUGAAUGUACCUUUGGGAAAAGUUUCUGCGUCUUUACAUGUUUGUCAACCUGCUAAAAUUGUCGGUCACAUUCAGAAUUGUGGAACUAAUACAUACCAAAAACAAAGCAUCCCCUUAAUAUUUUUAUCUUCUUUUUACAUUUAACGUGUUUUUAAUUUUAGUUGUCAAAUAAUUAAUUAUAGACAAAAUAAGCCUAAUUUAUAAUAGUCUUUUUUUUCUGAAAUCUAAUUUACAGUAAUCUAAUACAUAUAAAAAAAUUAAUAAAUUAUAAAUUAUUCUAAUAGGCCUGCCUAAUCAAAAAAGCAAAACUACCUUUGGAUUGGAAGAUUGUCUUCUAUCGAUGCAGAAAUGCAAUUAUUUUUAUUAUUAGUAUUAUUUUUUAAUGCAAAGUGAUGGAAGAAUGCUCACAUACUUUGACUCCACAGGACCACAUUAGUACCGCCUCGACAGGUAAUCACUCGAUUUAAUUUUUUCCAUGAUUUGGUGUAACUACCGCGGAUCUUUCCUUUUUUUUUUUUCUUGGUUUGAUUAUAUUUUGCUGAUUAAAUAUAUUUGACAUAAUAAAAAGAAUUAGUGUUUUUUCAUAGGAAAAACAGAUAAAAUGUUUUAAAAAAAAUAUAUAUUUUUUAAAAAAAUUAAAUAUGAGCUUCGUGUUUAAUCUAUCUUUUAUACAAAAAAAAAAUCAGAAACUAAUUCACAAAAAUGGAAAAACAUCAAAUUAAUAGUAAAAUAUAUUCUAUAUAAUAUAAGAUAUCUUAAUCUAUAAGUAAUUCUCUUUCUCAAAAAAAAAAAAAAANNNNNNNNNNNNAUAUAUAUAUAUAUAUAUAUAUAUAUUUUGUACAUGCUUAAAUUAAUUAAAGCUUGAGGGUGAGUGCAUAUGUAACCGUCCACAAGGACUCCAGUCCAAAUUGUCAUUCUCCUAGUGCAAAGUGGAGGAAAUAAAAUUGCACGUGAUAUUGUACAACAUAUACUCUGAUGUGUUACUAUUUUCCUUUUCCGACAUCUGAAUAUCAUCACGUGGUAAUCAUUUAAAACAAUUCUUACAAAAAAUUUAAUUAUGUUCUAUUAAGAAAUUCUACAAUCAAAUUAUUUUGUGAUAGAAUUUAGGUUGUAAUAGAAAAGAAGAAUAGGAUAUUAAUUAGGCGAUUGUUAUAAAUUUGGAAGUAAUAAAAUUUAUUUCUAUUGUUUGUAAUAAUUAAAAAAAAAAUCAGAUAACUUAUUUAACUUACUAUUUUUAAUAGUACCAUUGAAAUUUCUUUUUCUUUGUUUUAAAAAAAAUAUUGAAUUUUCUGUUUAAUCCAAUAGGUAAUAUUUUUUUUUAUAUAUAAAAGAAUUUAACUAUUCCAUAAUAUGUUAUGGAGUAUUAGUGAUUAAAUUAAAUUCUGUGGAAUUAAAUCUUUACAUUUCUUCAAAUUGCUAAUGGACUUAUUAACGAGUCAAUAAUUUAUUAUCAGCAAUAUCGGAAUAAGGAUUCAAUCCUGUUGAUGCCUUCUGUACGUGAUAGUUGCAUUGUGACUGGGUUCUUUUGAUCGUCAAAUUGCCACGCAUUAUAUAAUAAAGGAAAGAUAUAAAACCAUAAAAGAGUAACACUCAUUAUAUAUAUAACAGUAUUCAACAUAAGAACAACCAACUAGGGGCCGGUGCUCAGAUGGUACGUACAAGCCAAAAUACAAACACUAAAAGAACAGAAGACUAAACCUCCGUUUCUUAUUCCCAACAUUUUAUCUAUUAAUGCUGGUCAGUAACCAGACACUUGAUUAAUUAGUUCUCAGUUGGAGGCUUGUGCGGUGGCUUUUGGGGCGGCUUAUGGGGUGGCAGGUGUUUUAAUGGUGGUUUCUCUCCCUUUCCUUUAUAUGAAUCCUCAACUAACUCUUCCUCAGCCAAAAGAUGUCCAUGUGGUGGCUUGUGGGGUGGCUUGUGUUUUGGUACUGGUUUCUGUCCCUUUCCUUUAUAUGAAUCCUCGGCUAGCUCUUCCUCAGCCAAAAGAUGUCCAUGUGGCGGCUUAUGCUUUGGUGGUGGCUUAUUACCCUUAUGUGAGUCCUCUACAACCUCUGUAGCUAAAAGACGUCUGAGGGGUGGUUUGUGCUCUGGUGGUGGCUUGUGCGGUGGUUUGUGCUCGGAUGAUGGCUUUUGAGGUGGAAAAUUCUUAGGAGGUGGUUUCUCUCCCUUACCCUUAAAUGGCGGUUUUUGGAAGUCCUCUACGCUAUCCUCGCUUAAUAGGUGCCCAUGUGGUGGCUUGUGUGGUGGUUUGUGCUCUGGUGUUGGCUUUUGAGGUGGAAAAUUCUUAGGUGGUGGCUUUUGAGGUGGAAAAUUCUUAGGAGGUGGGUUCUCUCCCUUACCCUUAAAUGGUGGUUUUUGGAAGUCCUCUUCGCUAUCCUCACUUAAUAGGUGACCAUGUGGUGGCUUGUGUGGGGGGUUGUGCUCUGGGGGUGGCUUUUGAGGUGGGAAAUUCUUAGGUGGUGGCUUUUGAGGUGGAAAAUUCUUAGGAGGUGGGUUCUCUCCCUUACCCUUAAAUGGUGGUUUUUGGAAGUCCUCUUCGCUAUCCUCACUUAAUAGGUGACCAUGUGGUGGCUUGUGUGGUGGGUUGUGGUCUGGUGUUGGCUUUUGAGGUGGAAAAUUCUUAGGAGGUGGUUUCUCUCCCUUACCCUUGUAAGGUGGAUCAUGGACAUCCUCUACAUUAUCCUCACUUAACAGAUGACCAUGUGGUGGCUUGUGCUGUGAGUGGUGGUGAUCAUAAUGAUCAGCUAAUGAAGAAGAAAUGGAGAGAAUCACGACUGCUCCAAUAAGGAGCAACACUCGCAAGUUUUUAGAAGAGAACAUGUUUGA
rnacentral:lncRNA from 1 species